rnacentral:rRNA from 1 species
GACGAACGCUGGCGGCGUGCUUAACACAUGCAAGUCGAACGAAGAGCGAUGGAAGCUUGCUUCUAUCAAUCUUAGUGGCGAACGGGUGAGUAACGCGUAAUCAACCUGCCCUUCAGAGGGGGACAACAGUUGGAAACGACUGCUAAUACCGCAUACGAUCUAAUCUCGGCAUCGAGGAUAGAUGAAAGGUGGCCUCUACAUGUAAGCUAUCACUGAAGGAGGGGAUUGCGUCUGAUUAGCUAGUUGGAGGGGUAACGGCCCACCAAGGCGAUGAUCAGUAGCCGGUCUGAGAGGAUGAACGGCCACAUUGGGACUGAGACACGGCCCAGACGCCUACGGGAGGCAGCAGUGGGGAAUCUUCCGCAAUGGACGAAAGUCUGACGGAGCAACGCCGCGUGAGUGAUGACGGCCUUCGGGUUGUAAAGCUCUGUUAAUCGGGACGAAAGGCCUUCUUGCGAAUAGUGAGAAGGAUUGACGGUACCGGAAUAGAAAGCCACGGCUAACUACGUG